rnacentral:rRNA from 1 species
CCUACGGGAGGCAGCAGUGGGGAAUUYUGCGCAAUGGGCGAAAGCCUGACGCAGUAACGCCGCGUGGAGGAUGAAGGCCUUCGGGUCUGUAAACUCCUGUCAGAGGGAACGACAGCAGUACGGGUAAAUAGUCCUACUUUCUAGACGGUACCCUCAAAGGAAGCCCCGGCUAAUUCCGUCGCCACGCAGCCG